rnacentral:lncRNA from 1 species
GGGAAGGUAAUCAGGUAGGAAGAACCAAAGGGAGUGACAGAUUUAGGGAAGGUAAUCAGACAGGAAGAACCAAAGGGAGUGACAGAUUUAGGGAAGGUAAUCAGACAGGAAGAACCAAAGGGAGUGACAGAUUUAGGGAAGGUAAUCAGACAGGAAGAACCAAAGGGAGUGACAGAUUUAGGGAAGGUAAUCAGACAGGAAGAACCAAAGGGAGUGACAGAUUUAGGGAAGGUAAUCAGACAGGAAGAACCAAAGGGAGUGACAGAUUUAGGGAAGGUAAUCAGGUAGGAAGAACCAAAGGGAGUGACAGAUUUAGGGAAGGUAAUCAGACAGGAAGAACCAAAGGGAGUGACAGAUUUAGGGAAGGUAAUCAGACAGGAAGAACCAAAGGGAGUGACAGAUUUAGGGAAGGUAAUCAGACAGGAAGAACCAAAGGGAGUGACAGAUUUAGGGAAGGUAAUCAGACAGGAAGAACCAAAGGGAGUGACAGAUUUAGGGAAGGUAAUCAGGCAGGUUAUGGAGUCCAGGUGAGGCUGAUGAGGCGCUGGUGUGCUAACGAUAGUGACAGGUAAGCGUCAUAAUGAGCGGCCUGGUGACCUGGCGCGCCGGAGAGGGAUUAUGGG